UACGUAGGGGGCAAGCGUUGUCCGGAUUUAUUGGGCGUAAAGAGCGUGUAGGCGGUCAGGUAGGUCCGUUGUGAAAACUCGAGGCUCAACCUCGAGACGCCGAUGGAAACCAUCUGACUAGAGUCCGGAAGAGGAGAGUGGGAUUCCUGGUGGUAGCGGUGAAAUGCGCAGAUAUCAGGAGGAACACCGAUGGCGAAGGCGGCGACCUGGGUCGACACUGACGCUCAGGCACGAAAGCGUGGGGAGCAAACAGG
rnacentral:rRNA from 1 species